rnacentral:rRNA from 1 species
CCGACCGGCGCACGGGUGAGUAACGCGUAUGCAACUUACCUAUCAGAGGGGGAUAACCCGGCGAAAGCCGGACUAAUACCGCAUGAAGCAGGGGCCCCGCAUGGGGAUAUUUGCUAAAGAUUCAUCGCUGAUAGAUAGGCAUGCGUUCCAUUAGGCAGUUGGCGGGGUAACGGCCCACCAAACCGACGAUGGAUAGGGGUUCUGAGAGGAAGGUCCCCCACAUUGGUACUGAGACACGGACCAA